rnacentral:rRNA from 1 species
GUCCAGACUCCUACGUGAGGCAGCAUUUUUGAAUCUUCCGCAAUGGGCGAAAUCCUUACGGCGCAACACCUCGUGAUCGAAUGAAUGCCUUCGUUUUUUAAAGAUCUGUUGACAGGGACGAAUAAUCAAUGCGAAUAUUUUUGUGUAUGACUUUACCUGUUUAUAAAUCUCCGGCUAACUACUUGCCAGCAUCCUCUUUAAUACGUAGUUAUCAAGCGUUGUCCGGAAUUACUGGGCGUAAAGGGCGCGUAGGUGGGCGCUUAAGUCAGGUGUGAAAACUCCGGGCUCAACCUGGAGACUGCACUUGAAACUGGGUGUCUUGAGGGCAGGAGAGGAAAGUGGAAGUCCUAGGGUAGCGGUGAAAUGCGUAGAUAUUAGGAGGAACACCAGUGGCGAAGGCGACUUUCUGGACUGUACCUGACGCUGAGGCGCGAAAGCGUGGGUAGCGAACGGGAUUAGAUACCCUUGUC